rnacentral:rRNA from 1 species
GAUGAACGCUGGCGGCGUGCCUAAUACAUGCAAGUCGAGCGAAUGGAUUAAGAGCUUGCUCUUAUGAAGUUAGCGGCGGACGGGUGAGUAACACGUGGGUAACCUGCCCAUAAGACUGGGAUAACUCCGGGAAACCGGGGCUAAUACCGGAUAACAUUUUGAACCGCAUGGUUCGAAAUUGAAAGGCCGCUUCGGCUGUCACUUAUGGAUGGACCCGGGUCGCAUUAGCUAGUUGGUGAGGUAACGGCUCACAAAGGCAACGAUGCGUAGCCGACCUGGGAGGGUGAUCGGCCACACUGGGACUGAGACACGGCCCAGACUCCUACGGGAGGCAGCAGUAGGGAAUCUUCCGCAAUGGACGAAAGUCUGACGGAGCAACGCCGCGUGAGUGAUGAAGGCUUUCGGGUCGUAAAACUCUGUUGUUAGGGAAGAACAAGUGCUAGUUGAAUAAGCUGGCACCUUGACGGUACCUAACCAGAAAGCCACGGCUAACUACGUGCCAGCAGCCGCAGUAA